UACGUAGGGUGCGAGCGUUAAUCGGAAUUACUGGGCGUAAAGCGUGCGCAGGCGGCUUUGCAAGACAGAUGUGAAAUCCCCGGGCUCAACCUGGAACUGCAUUUGUGACUGCAAGGCUAGAGUACGGCAGAGGGGGAUGGAAUUCCGCGUGUAGCAGUGAAAUGCGUAGAUAUGCGGAGGAACACCAAUGGCGAAGGCAAUCCCCUGGGCCUGUACUGACGCUCAUGCACGAAAGCGUGGGGAGCAAACAGG
rnacentral:rRNA from 1 species